UCUUGUACAAACUAGGUGGACUAGAGAGUUAGAUUUCAGUUAAACAGCAGUAACAGCCGUUUGUGGUGGCGCAUGCUGGUAGGAUUUACUGAAGAAGGCAGAGGACAUACGGCAGAGAGCAUACUCCACGGUGCUGAUGUACCCAACCUUGGCCACCCUGUGCCUUGCCUUGUUGGUGCUGUUGAGCAAAGUGAGGAUGUCCCCUUUCUUCAUGGUAACCUCACGAGGGCUCUUCUCCUGAUAGUCGUAGAGAGCCAAGACCAGCUCCUUCCCAGUCUCAUCAUCCAUGGGGGCCACUUGUUGCUAACAAGUCAAAGGAAAGACAAAAUGAUUAAAUGCCACUCAUAACGAAUCACCAAGCACACAGGAGUCCAAUUUCAACAGGGACAUUAAAUACACACUUGAGAGUUC